GUCACGAGGAAAUGAAUGCGUCAGUGGUUGUGUCAGGGACACUGAGGGAGACAGAUGGUUUAUUUUUAUUAUUUUUUAUUUUCUGUCCAUCGUCAUAUUGUGCAUCUUCAAAAAAGUGACGCGGAUGUUCGCUACACUCGAACAGGCUUAUUUGCGGGUUUAGCCUACAGAUGGUACCAAUAUAUUGGAACAAUUUAAGUCCCAACGGAAUUGUAGAAUUGUUCAAUAGGGUUAGUACAUGUACACGUUAAAAUUAGGCAAAUGUCUACAUACAAGGAAUGUCUGUCUUUUCUGGGUAACUAAUUCACUACAAUAAAUGAAUGCAACCAAUGAAAAUAAAAAGACUUACUUGAACUAGUAAAAAAAAAGGGUCAAAAGAGAAAGUGAAACUGUUUCAAACUCAAACGUCAUUUUGAAGACGGAGGACAAGGAGGAUGCAGUAAAAAAAAAAAGGAAUAAAACUGGAUAAAAGAACGGAAGACUGUGCUGCAUGAAAAUCCCAGGAGGGCAGCUGUUUCUGUGAUGCUGGAACCACCACACCUGGCACCAUCCAUCUGGCACAGUCAAAGUCGCUUAGAUCACACAUUUUGCCCAUUCUUAUAGGCUAAUCUGGGUUGGAAGCCACUUGUGGUCCAGUCUGGUCUGGUGUGUUCCUGUCUCCUUAGAUAGGGGGUGCUGUUUUCUAAAAUGAGUCUCUCAGAGGAGCAGAGACCAAAGGAGGAACCCUCAGCACUGAGAGGAAGAGGGUCCAGGUAGAAAGAGCAGGGUCACCAGUACCCAGCUGUCUGUCUAUGAAGAGUGAUUGUUCAAUGGAACAUCCAAUCAAGUUCAGAGGAGAGUUCACAGAUGAUCAAAGGGUCCAGGUAGAAAGAGCAGGGUCACUAGUACCCAGCUGUCUGUCUAUGAAGAGUGAUCGUUCAAUGGAACAUCCAAUCAAGUUCAGAGGAGAGUUCACAGAUGAUCAAAGGGUCCAGGUAGAAAGAGCAGGGUCACCAGUACCCAGCUGUCUGUCUAUGAAGAGUGAUCGUUCAAUGGAACAUCCAAUCAAGUUCAGAGGAGAGUUCACAGAUGAUCAAAGGUAAUAAAACAGGUUCAAAUAGACAUUCUUGUGUAAUAAUACUUCAAUGUUUCUGACAGGUUU